GAUGAACGCUAGCGGCAGGCCUAAUACAUGCAAGUCGAGGGGUAGACGAGUGCUUGCACUUGUUGAGACCGGCGAACGGGUGCGUAACACGUAUGCAACCUACCUUUAACUGGGGGAUAGCCCGGAGAAAUCCGGAUUAAUACCCCAUAAUACUAUAGAAAGGCAUCUUUUCAUUAGUUAAAGCUCCGGCGGUUAAAGAUGGGCAUGCGGUCCAUUAGCUUGUUGGUGAGGUAACGGCUCACCAAGGCUACGAUGGAUAGGGGGUCUGAGAGGAUGAUCCCCCANACUGGUACUGAGACACGGACCAGACUCCUACGGGAGCAGCAGUAGGGAAUAUUGGACAAUGGGCAAGCCUGAUCCAGCCAUGCCGCGUGCAGGAUGACGGCCCUAUGGGUUGUAAACUGCUUUUANAUGGGUAAGAAACACUCCGACGUGU
rnacentral:rRNA from 1 species